rnacentral:rRNA from 1 species
AGCGCAUACGGUGGAUGCCUUGGCAGUCAGAGGCGAUGAAAGACGUGGUAGCCUGCGAAAAGCUUCGGGGAGUCGGCAAACAGACUGUGAUCCGGAGAUGUCUGAAUGGGGGAACCCAGCCAUCAUAAGAUGGUUAUCUUGUACUGAAUACAUAGGUGCAAGAGGCGAACCAGGGGAACUGAAACAUCUAAGUACCCUGAGGAAAAGAAAUCAACCGAGAUUCCCUUAGUAGUGGCGAGCGAACGGGGACCAGCCCUUAAGUUGUAUUGAGAUUAGCGGAACGUUCUGGAAAGGACGGCCAUAGUGGGUGAUAGCCCUGUACGCGAAAAUCCCUUUGCAAUGAAAUCGAGUAGGACGGGGCACGAGAAACCUUGUCUGAAUAUGGGGGGACCAUCCUCCAAGGCUAAAUACUACUGACUGACCGAUAGUGAACCAGUACCGUGAGGGAAAGGCGAAAAGAACCGCGGAGAGCGGAGUGAAAUAGAUCCUGAAACCGUAUGCGUACAAGCAGUGGGAGCCCACUUGUUGGGUGACUGCGUACCUUUUGUAUAAUGGGUCAGCGACUUAUUUUCAGUGGCGAGCUUAACCGAAUAGGGGAGGCGUAGCGAAAGCGAGUCUUAAUAGGGCGUCUAGUCGCUGGGAAUAGACCCGAAACCGGGCGAUCUAUCCAUGGGCAGGUUGAAGGUUGGGUAACGCUAACUGGAGGACCGAACCGACUACCGUUGAAAAGUUAGCGGAUGACCUGUGGAUCGGAGUGAAAGGCUAAUCAAGCUCGGAGAUAGCUGGUUCUCCUCGAAAGCUAUUUAGGUAGCGCCUCAUGUAUCACUGUAGGGGGUAGAGCACUGUUUCGGCUAGGGGGUCAUCCCGACUUACCAAACCGAUGCAAACUCCGAAUACCUACAAGUGCCGAGCAUGGGAGACACACGGCGGGUGCUAACGUCCGUCGUGAAAAGGGAAACAACCCAGACCGUCAGCUAAGGUCCCAAAGUCAUGGUUAAGUGGGAAACGAUGUGGGAAGGCUUAGACAGCUAGGAGGUUGGCUUAGAAGCAGCCACCCUUUAAAGAAAGCGUAAUAGCUCACUAGUCGAGUCGGCCUGCGCGGAAGAUGUAACGGGGCUCAAACCAUGCACCGAAGCUACGGGUAUCAUCUUUUGAUGAUGCGGUAGAGGAGCGUUCUGUAAGCCUGUGAAGGUGAGUUGAGAAGCUUGCUGGAGGUAUCAGAAGUGCGAAUGCUGACAUGAGUAACGACAAUGGGUGUGAAAAACACCCACGCCGAAAGACCAAGGUUUCCUGCGCAACGUUAAUCGACGCAGGGUUAGUCGGUCCCUAAGGCGAGGCUGAAAAGCGUAGUCGAUGGAAAACAGGUUAAUAUUCCUGUACUUCUGGUUAUUGCGAUGGAGGGACGGAGAAGGCUAGGCCAGCCUGGCGUUGGUUGUCCAGGUUUAAGGUGGUAGGCUGAGAUCUUAGGUAAAUCCGGGAUUUCAAGGCCGAGAGCUGAUGACGAGUGUUCUUUAGAACACGAAGUGGUUGAUGCCAUGCUUCCAAGAAAAGCUUCUAAGCUUCAGGUAACCAGGAACCGUACCCCAAACCGACACAGGUGGUUGGGUAGAGAAUACCAAGGCGCUUGAGAGAACUCGGGUGAAGGAACUAGGCAAAAUGGCACCGUAACUUCGGGAGAAGGUGCGCCGGUGAGGGUGAAGCAUUUACUGCGUAAGCCCACGCCGGUCGAAGAUACCAGGCCGCUGCGACUGUUUAUUAAAAACACAGCACUCUGCAAACACGAAAGUGGACGUAUAGGGUGUGACGCCUGCCCGGUGCCGGAAGGUUAAUUGAUGGGGUUAGCGCAAGCGAAGCUCUUGAUCGAAGCCCCGGUAAACGGCGGCCGUAACUAUAACGGUCCUAAGGUAGCGAAAUUCCUUGUCGGGUAAGUUCCGACCUGCACGAAUGGCGUAACGAUGGCGGCGCUGUCUCCACCCGAGACUCAGUGAAAUUGAAAUCGCUGUGAAGAUGCAGUGUAUCCGCGGCUAGACGGAAAGACCCCGUGAACCUUUACUAUAGCUUUGCACUGGACUUUGAAUUUGCUUGUGUAGGAUAGGUGGGAGGCUUUGAAGCGUGGACGCCAGUCUGCGUGGAGCCAACCUUGAAAUACCACCCUGGCAACUUUGAGGUUCUAACUCAGGUCCGUUAUCCGGAUCGAGGACAGUGUAUGGUGGGUAGUUUGACUGGGGCGGUCUCCUCCUAAAGAGUAACGGAGGAGUACGAAGGUGCGCUCAGACCGGUCGGAAAUCGGUCGUAGAGUAUAAAGGCAAAAGCGCGCUUGACUGCGAGACAGACACGUCGAGCAGGUACGAAAGUAGGUCUUAGUGAUCCGGUGGUUCUGUAUGGAAGGGCCAUCGCUCAACGGAUAAAAGGUACUCCGGGGAUAACAGGCUGAUACCGCCCAAGAGUUCAUAUCGACGGCGGUGUUUGGCACCUCGAUGUCGGCUCAUCACAUCCUGGGGCUGAAGCCGGUCCCAAGGGUAUGGCUGUUCGCCAUUUAAAGUGGUACGCGAGCUGGGUUUAGAACGUCGUGAGACAGUUCGGUCCCUAUCUGCCGUGGACGUUUGAGAUUUGAGAGGGGCUGCUCCUAGUACGAGAGGACCGGAGUGGACGAACCUCUGGUGUUCCGGUUGUCACGCCAGUGGCAUUGCCGGGUAGCUAUGUUCGGAAAAGAUAACCGCUGAAAGCAUCUAAGCGGGAAACUUGCCUCAAGAUGAGAUCUCACUGGAACCUUGAGUUCCCUAAAGGGCCGUCGAAGACUACGACGUUGAUAGGUUGGGUGUGUAAGCGCUGUGAGGCGUUGAGCUAACCAAUACUAAUUGCCCGUGAGGCUUGACC